CUGGAGGAGAUAAAAGAACUUGAUCUCCGACAUUAACAGGUAUUGCAGUUAAAAGACUGUAAAUCUCAGAACAGAUUUUGAACUUUGGACUUGUAAACAUUGAUGAGAUUCUGGAGACUGUGGGAAUUUCUGAGUUGGACAAAAUGUCUAGGUUGGGUGUGUGAACCUUUGUUCAAAAAGGUACAUGAGGAAGAACUUGUAUCCUUGGGUCCUCAAGUAGAACAUGCAACAUUUCCACACUGCAUCCUCUGUCUCCCCAGGAGAACAGCCACCUUCUUGAUGUAAACUAGACAGCUCUACAGGAAAAGGCAAAAAUCAGUUCUACUAAUUUAAGAGCUACUCCUCCUGAAUUCUGAAGCAUCUUCACCUGGGAAGUAAAGAAAGAGGAGAGCGGGACAGUAGAAGGAGGCUUUGUGAGAAUCUUGGGUUUUUGGAGCAGGACAGUGCCUACCAGAGGUCUACUCUGAGCCCUCAGCCCUUGCAUGUGAUCCUCUCUGCUUGUUCCCUUCUUUGAGCUCCAGGCUGCUCCAGCAGCUUACAGACUGUACUUGGCUCAUGGUUUGAUAACCUUUCCCCUCCCACUGAACUGUACCAGCUGCUGGCAGGGUCCAUGUAUUUGAGCUGCUUCCUUAUUCUCAGGGCUUAUCAUGGAGCCUAAUAUGCAAUAGACUCUCAAUAGAUAUUAAGUAGGCUGUCUCUACACCUCACACUUGAGUCUAGCAAAGUUGUCCUCUGAGAGGCACCACCCAGCAGCUAUCUCAGAGACCCACAGCAGAACAGCAGAUGGAAGGAGCUUGGGGACCCCUAU
rnacentral:lncRNA from 1 species